rnacentral:lncRNA from 1 species
UCGAGGCCGGGCGCCUUGCGGGACGGCAUGCUUUUGAUGGCCUGCCAAAUCUCAUCCUCGCUGAAUGGCGCAUCAAGAUCUUCCAGGUUUGAGGGCUCGAUGAAUUGCGACAGGUUAAUAGUGCAGUCACGCUGCAUGUCUGUCCUAAUUCGGCUGUCAAAGUGCUCGAAAGUGGCCGCGGCCAGCUUAGUAGCUUGCAUGUGCCCAUAUGGAUAUGAUCAUGGAUACGAUACAUGUGGAUCGGAGUUGUUAGACCUAGGUGAUUUUGUUGUUCCCCCCAAAGAAUGUUAUCAGUACAAAAUGACCAUAGGAGGAUGAUUUGGAUUAAUUCAAAGAGAUGGCGAUUUUGAUGGUAUGUGAUAACCUUGUGUGAGUUGUGCCAUGUGGGCCUCUUAAUAGUUGGUCUCAGAGAAAUGGUGUUUAAGUGCGUUAUGGUGAACUUUUACCCUCACACCCGAACCCUAUGCACCUUAAGUCUCACCAAUCCAUGACUUGGUCGAAUCGCGACGACAGAGUUGUAUGUGAAGGAUGUGGCCGUUGACCUAAUCCUUGCCCACCUAGCUAUUUGAUGAACAUCAUGAAUAACAUGUUUGUGAGUUCUUCGACAAGUUUCUCGUCAUCAUUGGUGACCUCUUUGUCUAUACCCCCUCGGAGGAAAAUCAUUAGCAACACCUAAGAAAGAUUUUUAUGUGGUUUUAGUUUGGUGAUUGUGAUAUUGAGGAGAUAGUCAAGGAUAUUAUGAGAUUUUAUGUUUAGUAAGUGAGCAUGUGAUUAUUAUGUUGGUGGAUAAACACAUUUUUAAUUAAUCUUGGAACAAUUUCUAUUUAGUUAGGUGAUUGUGAUCUUGAAUCGAAUUUCAUGGUGAAUUUUGAGAUUUUGGUUGAAUAUACUUUGAUGAUUGUGAUCUUGAGAUAGUCAAAGAUUUUUUCGGUGGAUAUGAGAUUUUAGGUCUAGUAGGUGACCGUGGUGAUUAUUAGAUUGGUGGAUAAACAUAUAUUUGAUUAAUCUUACAACAAUUUCUUAGUUAGGCAACUAUGGUUGAAUAUACUUUGGUGAUUGUGAUCUUGAGGAAACAGUCAAUGUUUUUGGUGCAUUAUGAGUUUUUAGGUAUAGUCGGUGACCGUGGUGAUUAUUAGUUUGGUGGAUACACAUAUAUUUAAUUAAUCUUACAUUGAUCUGUUAGUGAUGUGAAUAUGAUUUUGAACCAAAUUUCACGAUGGAUUAUGUGAUUUUUGGUGGAUCUAGUUAGGUGAUUGUCUCCUUGAAAAGAUACUUCAAGAUGUUCGAUGGAUUAUGAGAUUUUUGGUCUAAUUAGUGAGCAUAGUGAUUAUUAUAUUGGUGGAUAAACAAAUCUUCGAUCAAUUUUAAACAAUUUGGAUUUAGCUAGGUGAUUGUGAUCUUUUAACAAAAUUUCAUAGUGGAUUAUGAGAUUUUAGAUGGAUUUAGCUAGGUGAUUGUGAUGUUGAGAAAGAUUGUCAAUGAUGUUCGGUGGAUUAUAAGAUUUUAGGUCUAAUAGGUGAGCAUCAUGAUUAUUACAUUGGUGGAUAAACAAAUCUUUAAUUAAGUGGAACAAUUUGGAUUUAGUUUGGUGAUUAUGAUUUUGAAUCAAAUUUCUCGGUGGAUUAUGAUAUUUAUGUGGAUUUAGUCUGGUUAUUGGGAUCUUGAGGAGAUGGUCAAAGAUGAGUAGUGGAUGUUGAUUUUUAUGUCUAGUACGUGAGCAUGGUGAUUAUUAGAUUGGUGAAUAAACAUUUCUUUAAUUGAUCUUUCACUAAUUUGGGUAGCUGUGAUCUUGAACCACUCAAGAUGAAUGUCACCCUACAGAGCGAUAUAGGUUGAAUGUUCAUGAGAUACCUGGUUGUGUAAAAAGUGGUCUCUUGUUACCAAAGGAAUCGGUAGCAAAACCCAUCGAUGGAGAACCAAAAGAAGCAGCCAUUAGACACUAAACUCGUGUAAUCUUCUGUGUGGUUAGGGGCUCAUUUGAAGAGGUUGACAAAGAAGUACUAGACGGUGAAACUAGAAUGAGUGGGCGUUGAAGUUGUGCAAUUUUCGUUCCUUGUUGAUCCGGCUUGGCGUCCUUCCCUUGUAUGCGGGUUAUGUGUCACGGGCUUGACGUAGGAUCCUACGUUCCCUUGUUGGGGGUCGUUGGCCCGGGCGACAGGUAGCGUCAUGCUCACAUCUUGUGUGUUAGACAUUGCGGUGCCGACUGCCUUUGCUCCUGCAUCGCCGAUAGGUGGUGCUUGGGCGUUCGGCUAUGGCGGCGCCCAUCAAGGAAACACGGGUUGUGGGAUCGAGGCAGCACACAAAGCAACCCGUAGCCAGGCAAAGGAUGUCCAAUCGGACUGGAAUGGAGCGGAGAGUGCAUGAGGGGUGUGGUGAAAGGGGUCAAAAGAAUGACGACAAGGGAAGCGAGGAAGGCAGCUGCGAUGGUGAUCAGUUGUGGGCAGAUCCAAUUUUUGCACGUGGAUCUACUACUCAGGAUAGCAUGACAUGGUUGUUGUGGAGUGAGGUGCCACAAAUAUUGUGUUGUUUGGAUGAGUUUGGAGAGAUAGAAGUUGGUUGUGCUCUAGUCUACGCCUUCAACUGUACUAAGUGCAACUUAUUCCAAGUUUCUGUGCUCUCAAGCUUAAGCCUUUCUUUCUUUGAACCAGUCGUAAGCCCAAGAAACUGAGCCUAGCUAUUAAAGUUCUGAUAACAUGGACUUAUAUUGAUGUGCUUAAUUUACGGAAUUAUGAGAGCACCGCAUAAGAACGAAUAACUUUUGCGGCGAAUAAAGGCAAACUUUAGAUUGUGAUUGUGAGUCAAUCAUGUUACAUCCUUAAGCCCCAACAAGCACCAAGUUGGCUGGUGCCAUACGGAAGUUGUUUUGAGUAUUUAUGAUUGGAAGAUGAGAUAAUCUGAUGGUGUUGUAGAAAUGAUAUUCUGGAGAUAGUUAAAGAUGUUCGGUGGAUUAUGAGAACUUAGGUAUAGUUGAGCAUCGCGAUUAUUAUAUUGGUGUAUAAACAGAUCUUUAAUUAUUCUUGGAAUAAUUUGGAUUUAGUUAGGUGAUUGUGAUCUUGAACCAAAUUUUACGGUGGAUAAAUAACUUCAGUAGUACAUAUAUAGAUCCAUAGUCGGUCCAUUUAACUUGUGGUUUAUAUUGGAUUUAGAUAGCCACGAAAUUUGAGUUUACUUCAAUCAUGGUUAUGAUGUUGGUGGGUUGCUUUGUGUUAAGUUCGCACCUUUGGAGAUUUAAGUUGAAGAAAUAUAGGAUGUAGUAUGAACAACAUUAUAUAUACCGAAUUUAUAUAGGUUAGAUGAUAGUUAGCACCAUCAAUCAUGAUUAUGAAAAUUUGUGGAUUAUUAAAUCUUCUGUGAUUGGAUUAGUAGUAUAAGGAAACAAGGAUCUUGGAGUAACACAACUUGUGUCUCCUUUAGGUCGGAGUGAGAGUUAGCUGCAUCAAUCAUGAUUACGAAAAUUGGUGGAUUAUUGGAGCGCGUGGGAUUGAGGUAGUUACUUGGAUUUUAGGACUAAGAUAACUUUGGGGCACUCAGAUUUCUGAUGUUUUGAUAUAAGCUUAGUAGCUUGCAUGUGCCCAUAUGGAUAUGAUCAUGGAUACGANNNNNNNNNNNNNNNNNNNNNNNNNNNNNNNNNNNNNNNNNNNNNNNNNNNNNNNNNNNNNNNNNNNNNNNNNNNNNNNNNNNNNNNNNNNNNNNNNNNNCCCCCGUCGCGCCUGGCAGGCUUGUGGGGCCCACAUUGCUCCACCACCUCCAAUCUCAGCUCUAUUUAUUCCCUUUCAUCCGAAAAAAAAUCAAGGAGAAGAGUUCAUCGCGUUUUAUGAAAAGAAGGCGCCGCCACCUCCUGUUCUUCCUCUGGAGGGCAGAUCUGGAGUCCGUUCUAGGCUCCCGAGAGGGGAGAUCGUCGCCAUCGUCAUCACCAACCUUCCUUCAUCGCCAAUUCCAUGAUGCUCUUCACCGUUCGUGAGUAAUCUCAUCGUAGGCUUGCUGGACGGUGAUGAGUUGGAUGAGAUCUAUCAUGUAAUCGAGUUAGUUUUCACAGGGAUUGAUCCCUAGUAUCCACUAUGUUCUGAGAUUGAUGUUGCUACUACUUUGCCAUGCUUAAUGCUUGUCACUAGAGCUCGAGUGCCAUGAUUUUAGAUCUGAACCUAUUAUGUUGUCGCCAAUAUAUGUGUGUUAUUGAUCCUAUCUUGCAAGUUGUAGUCACCUACUGUCACGCCGAAGAUGCGACCCUAUCCUCAAUUUGGCACGAGGGCCUCAUCAGGGAUAGAAGCGCAUCUCGUUGUGUCGCAAGAAUGGAUAUCGUUACAAGUACAUGUACUAAAAAGAAGAGAUAUAUAGAAUUGGCUUACACUCGCCACAAGCUUCAUCAGAGUUACAUCAAUACAAUACAUAAACAUCAAGAAGAAGAGCAGGGUCCGACUAUGGACGAAAACAAACGAGAAAAGACGAACGACGUCCAUCCUUGCUAUCCCAGGCUGCCGGCCUGGAACCCAUCCUAGAUCGAUGAAGAAGAAGAAGAAGAAGAAACUCCAAAUGUACAAUCAAUGCGCUCGCAUCAAGUAACCUUUACCUGUACCUGCAACUGGUGUUGUAGUAAUCUGUGAGCCACGGGGGACUCAACAAUCUCAUUUCCAAAAGCAUCAAGACUAGCAAAGCUUAAGGGGUGAGGUAUGGGUAAGUGGUGAGGUUGCAGCAGCGGCUAAGCAUAUAUUUGGUGGCUAAACUUACGAGUACAAGAAAAAUAAGAGGGGGAAGAUCUACGCAUAACGGACGUGAACUACUCAUGAUCAAAUGAAUGAUCCUGAACACCUACCUAUGUCAGACAUAACCCCACCGUGUCCUCAAUCGGAGAAGGAACUCACGAAAGAGACAGUCAUGGUUACGCACACAGUUGGCAUAUUUUAAUUAAGUUAACUUCAAGUUAUAUAGAACCGGUGUUAAACAAAGUUUCCACGUUGCCACAUAACCGCGGGCACGGCUUUCCGAAAAUAUUUCACCCUGCAGGGGUGCUCCAACUAGUCCAUCACAAAUUACCACAAGCCGCAUAGAAAUCCUCAAUCACGAAGCUCGCGAUCUCGUCAGAUUCCCUAGUGGAAAACCUCAACUCUGAGAUUACCCAAAGCAUCACCGGAAUCCCGAUGAACAAGAUAUCUCGUCAAAGGUAAAACUAAUCCAGCAAGGCCGCCCGACGUGUCGACGAUCCCGAUAGGAGCCGCGUAUCUCGUUCUCAGGACACGACGGAUGAGCUAGCCGCGUAUCAAGGGGGUCCCCAUAACAACCCCGAUCGUGUUAGGAGCGCUCAAAUAUGGAACAUAACACCGGUAGCCGAAACUAAGGGGGCAAAGGUGGAACAAAACACCAGGCUAGNNNNNNNNNNNNNNNNNNNNNNNNNNNNNNNNNNNNNNNNNNNNNNNNNNNNNNNNNNNNNNNNNNNNNNNNNNNNNNNNNNNNNNNNNNNNNNNNNNNNGAUGAACAUCAUGAAUAACAUGUUUGUGAGUUCUUCGACAAGUUUCUUGUUGUCUAUUCCCCCUCGGAGGAAAAUCAUUAGCAACACCUAAGAAAGAUUUUUAUGUGGUUUUAGUUUGGUGAUUGUGAUAUUGAGGAGAUAGUCAAGGAUAUUAUGAGAUUUUAUGUUUAGUAAGUGAGCAUGUGAUUAUUAUGUUGGUGGAUAAACACAUUUUUAAUUAAUCUUGGAACAAUUUCUAUUUAGUUAGGUGAUUGUGAUCUUGAAUCGAAUUUCAUGGUGAAUUUUGAGAUUUUGGUUGAAUAUACUUUGAUGAUUGUGAUCUUGAGAUAGUCAAAGAUUUUUUCGGUGGAUAUGAGAUUUUAGGUCUAGUAGGUGACCGUGGUGAUUAUUAGAUUGGUGGAUAAACAUAUAUUUGAUUAAUCUUACAAAAAUUUCUUAGUUAGGCAAUUGUGGUUGAAUAUACUUUGGUGAUUGUGAUCUUGAGGAGACAAACAAUUUUUUUGGUGCAUUAUGAGUUUCUAGGUAUAGUCGGUGACCGUGGUGAUUAUUAGUUUGGUGGAUAAACAUGUAUUUAAAUAAUCUUACAUUGAUUUGUUAGUUAUGUGAAUAUGAUUUUGAACCAAAUUUCACGAUGGAUUAUGAGAUUUUAGGUGGAUCUAGUUAGGUGAUUGUGUUCUUGAAAAGAUACUUGAAGAUGUUCGGUGGAUUAUGAGAUUUUAGGUCUAAUUAGUGAGCAUAGUGAUUGUUAUAUUGGUGGAUAAACAAAUCUUUAAUUAAGUGGAACCAUUUGGAUUUAGUUUGGUGAUUAUGAUUUUGAAUCAAAUUUCUUGGUGGAAUAUGAUAUAUUUCCUGGAUUUAGUCUGGUUAUUGGGAUCUUGAGGAGAUAGUCAAAGAUGCGUGGUGGAUGUUGAUUUUUAUGUCUAGUACGUGAGCAUGGUGAUUAUUAGAUUGGUGAAUAAACAUUUCUUUAAUUGAUCUUGCACUAAUUUGGGUAGCUGUGAUCUUGAACCACUCAAGAUGAAUGUCACCCUACAGAGCGAGAUAGGUUGAAUGUUCAUGAGAUACCUGGUUGUGUAAAAAGUGGUCUCUCUUUACCAAAGGAAUCGGUAGCGAAACCCGUCGAUGGAGAACCAAAGAAGCAGCUAUN